CCGCGGCGCGGACGCUGACGUCGGAGCCCACCUGGAUCCCGACGCCGAGGCCGCUCCGCUGCUGAUCGGGAGGCUCCGGGCCGGGUCGGGCCGGGCUCGCCGUGGCUGCGGACUGCGCCCCACGCUGCAGGACCUGGCUCGGGGCCCGGCGGCACCGCAUCCCGCUGCCCCCACUGCACGGAUAGUGGAUCCCGCAUCCCCACCCGCUGCUCCACCUGCAUCCGAACGGGAACCGCCGGGCCGAGAGCCCCACGUCCGAAGGCUGUGAGCUCCACGGGAUGGGCUCCCAGCCCGCCGCUCAACAAGUCCCGAGUCCCUGCUGUGGACGGAAAACUAAGGGAACUCCGUUCGCUCAGUGCACUGUUAGCUUCAUUCUCACAGGUUCCAUUUUUACCAAGGUCUCCUGUGUCACUAGAAAGAGCCAUCGAUUAGACGGCCUCGACUCUUGAAAAACUAAUGUCCUAUUCUGCAAAAAACAUUUUCGAAUCGUUCCAACCGGCUGAAGUUGGGUCAUCGUGGCCCCUUGAAAUAUCUCCAUUGGAAUCCAGCGACAUUGGCAUUGGUCAGAGCGAAAACACGAUCAUGAUCAAUUCACUU